GGGGAAAGGCUGGGUGGCCUGGCUCUCAGCUGGCUGGAGAGAUAUGGCCCUAGUGCUAUGGAGACUGGUCUGAGCUGGAGAGGUCCUGGCACAGGCACCCAUCAGGCCCAGGCCACCUUUUGAGGGAUAGAAGGGUGUGUGAUAGAAGGGUGACUGCAGAGGAAGGAAGAGCACUGUGGGGGGGCUUCAGCGGGCACCUGCCUUGUCUGCAAGCCAGGAGAGUCGCAUUUAUCUGCAUCAACUGAGCUCUGGGGCUGUCUACCCAUGAAGGAGAAUCAUCACCUCCGUUCUACAGACACAUACAAAUGUUGUCAAAGCCAAAGCCACUGAAACACGCAUCUGCACAAACACCUUGCCUAAGACCUGUGAAUGAUCUGCGUCUUUCCUGAAUUAGCCUGCUUUGAGAAUGCUAGCAGAAGACAUGCGAUUCCUGGGGUAGA